AAGGAGGAUGCCCUGUGAUGGCAUAGUGGAGAGUAAUUGUUGACUGUUGCCUCCCAUAGUGAUGGGGCAGGGAUAGACCUAAGUCCUCCCUGCUGUUGAACAUAGCAAACAAGCUGCCCAUUUGAUUCCAGAUGUUUCUUCCCCCCAUUCCUUCCUAAACUUCCUUUUUUAAAAAAACAAAAGCUAUGGGACCUCCCAGGAGCAAAUGACAGCAUGGAUUUCUCUUUCUCCUGAAAACCAGGACAUUGAGUUUAUGAGAUCUUUCUUAUUUCUGCUGGCUCUGGUCAUACAUCUCCUAGCUCCUGUGGUUAAUUUACAGUCUACUGAAGAAAUAUCUUUCAGAAAACUCUACUUGGCUGGUGGUGGCACAUCACACAACUGUGUAGCAGAACCAAAUCCAAUCUGGCCUCAGACAUCAACUCUGCAGGUCUGGAAGAAGCUGGGCAGCUACUAA
rnacentral:lncRNA from 1 species